rnacentral:rRNA from 1 species
CUGCUGCCUCCCGUAGGAGUCUGGUCCGUGUCUCAGUACCAGUGUGGGGGGACCUUCCUCUCAGAACCCCCUACGCAUCGUCGCCUUGGUGGGCCGUUACCCCGCCAACAAGCUAAUGCGACGCAUGACCAUCCGUAGCCGGAAUCGCUUCCUUUAAACCCCACAGAGAUGCCUCCAUGGGUUGUUACGCGGUAUUAGACGGAAUUUCUUCCGCUUAUCCCCCUGCUACGGGCAGGUCUCAUACGUGUUACUCACCCGUGCGCCGGUCGCCGGG